rnacentral:siRNA from 1 species
UAAAACGUUUAGAAAGAGAUGG